rnacentral:rRNA from 1 species
AGUCGUACGGUAACCAAAAGCUUGCUGUUUCGCUGACGAGUGGCGGACGGGUGAGUAAUGUCUGGGAAACUGCCUGAUGGAGGGGGAUAACUACUGGAAACGGUAGCUAAUACCGCAUAAUGUCGCAAGACCAAAGAGGGGGACCUUCGGGCCUCUUGCCAUCGGAUGUGCCCAGAUGGGAUUAGCUAGUAGGUGGGGUAACGGCUCACCUAGGCGACGAUCCCUAGCUGGUCUGAGAGGAUGACCAGCCACACUGGAACUGAGACACGGUCCAGACUCCUACGGGAGGCAGCAGUGGGGAAUAUUGCACAAUGGGCGCAAGCCUGAUGCAGCCAUGCCGCGUGUAUGAAGAAGGCCUUCGGGUUGUAAAGUACUUUCAGCGGGGAGGAAGGGAGUAAAGUUAAUACCUUUGCUCAUUGACGUUACCCGCAGAAGAAGCACCGGCUAACUCCGUGCCAGCAGCCGCGGUAAUACGGAGGGUGCAAGCGUUAAUCGGAAUUACUGGGCGUAAAGCGCACGCCCGCGGUUUGUUAAGUCAGAUGUGAAAUCCCCGGGCUCAACCUGGGAACUGCAUCUGAUACUGGCAAGCUUGAGUCUCGUAGAGGGGGGUAGAAUUC